ACUUUAGAACAUGUUUAUAUUUCUCCACAGUGCCCAUUCAUAGUAUUGCAGGACAUCUUCAGUGUGUCAACAUGCAAGUUGUUGGUGGUUCCUAUUUCCAUGGAACAUUUGGGCAUAUGGUCCGUGUUGAAGCACCAAACAAGGACAUAUGUCUUGCUGACACUGGUGGAGCAGCGAUGUACAACGGCAUGAUUUAUGGUGUGAUUUGUUUUAGUAGUAGAGACUACACAUGUCAGAGUCCAACAUCAAUCCUCGAUGUGUGUGAAUACAAGGAAUGGAUUAGAAGUGAAAUUUUCCGAGGACCAAGAACUAUCAAGAAAUAAAAUUAUCAUCAAAUUUCCUCUAACA